UGGGGAGUACGGUCGCAGCAUUGAAACUCUAAGGAAUUGACGGGGGCCCGCACAAGCGGAGGAACAUGUGGUUUAAGUCGAUGAUACGCGAGGAACCUGACCUGGGCUUAGAUGCAGAGCGACGUCCGCCGAAAGGUGGAUUCCGUCGGGCGAUCUGCAAGGUGCUGCAUGGUUGUCGUCAGCUCGUGCCGUGAGGUGUCGGGUUAAGUCCCAUAACGAGCGCAACCCUUAUCGUUAGUUGUCAGCGGCUCAUCCCGGGGACUCUAACGAAACUGCCGGUCUCCCCCGUCACGGAAGGUGGGGAUGACGUCAAAUCAGCACGGCCAUUAUGUCCAGGGCUACACACGUGUUACAAUGGUCGGUACAGAGGGCAGCUACCACGCGAGUGGAUGCUAAUCUCGAAAACCGGUCUCAGUUCGGAUUGAAGUCUGCAACUCGACUUCAUGAAGCUGGAUUCGCUAGUAAUCGCGCAUCACCCAUGGCGCGCUGNAUACGUUCCCGGGCAUUGACACACCGCCCGUCAAGCCAUG
rnacentral:rRNA from 1 species